rnacentral:snoRNA from 1 species
UUUAAAUGAUGACAUUUUACUAUCCCAGCUCACUCUGACAUUAACUAAAAUGAAGAGACAAAUAGCUCACAUAAUUUCUGAUAAAUGAAAAUAUUUAUA